UUUUCGGACGAUCUGUGAGAGCAAAGCAGACAAGAUGUAGGCAGGGGACUGAUAGUUCUGGUGGCGGAAUCCACCACUGGAAGAUUUCGAACAUAGAAUAGUUGAUGAAUUUAGGAUGAUAGAGUCCGUGCCCAGCGAUUGUGUGAUCUGUUGAUUCUAAACUAAGAUUGUCGGGUGUAUUCCAUUCUGCAACGAUUCAACUGAGCGCCAGUGAAAGAUAUAGAAUCCUUUGUGUAUACGCCAGGAGAAGUAUAGUUGGGAUAUAUGGUGGUUCUGCUUUAUUUCUUUGAGGAUCCUCUACACUCAGUUACACCAUGGUUUCAUCAGUUAUCAUCCCAUCAACAGUGAGAUUUUCAUGACUUUUCCCAGUUAUUUUCGUUAUACUUAAUUCCUCAGUAUUAACCACUCUCUGGGACUUCGGAGGAGCCAUCUUCUGCCUGAUUGUGACACCUGCCCCGUGAUUCCUCCUUCUGUCCAUUCCAACCCAGCAGGUCCAGAGUUUUCACAGACAUAUACUUGCUAGACAUCAUUAAUGCAAGCAGCUCACCAUGCUCUGACCACUCAGUAUGAGGAGUAUAAAGUCCUUUCAUAUCUGCUAUCACCCAGAAAGACUGCAGUUAUUUCCCGUUAAUCUCUAUCAAGAGCAAACCUGUUUCCGAAGCACAUUCUCAACCUGGCUCCUUGCUCCUCAGGGUUAUUCUCUCGUUCUGGCUGAAAUGUCAUUGUCUUGCGGGUAGUCUUGAUGUCUUUUUGCACAAAUGUGAAUUUUCCCUUCCUGAGUAUCACGUAAUUUUGAUUGUAUUUCACCAGGUAUGUAUUUUACUUCAAAAUGAUCCAAACUUAUAUUUUAACCAAACACGGGGGAAUUUCAUUGCUGCCACAUCUAGCAGACGGCACAAAAUAGCACCUGGUUGGAGGAACUAAUUAGGGAUGUUUCUGCACAACGAAUCAGAAGAAUGAAAAGACGUGGAAACCUCUCCUGUCUGAAAUUCAAGCUCACACUCCUGUCCUCUGUUCCUUUCCUUAAAGCUCCACUGGAUGCGGGACUAUUUUUCAAAAUUAAAGUGACCAACACUGGAGAUAAAGUAGUUGGGAUUAAACCUGAAGGCUUAUUUCACCACACUAAAGGAAAGAAAGACCACUGUAUUGUGUCUUACGAAGGCCAUGGUAGGAGGAUGGAGUGUCUGCUGAUCUAUAUGAACAAGGAGCGGCUGGAAAACCAGAAACGUAACUUCUGGAAGUUGGAGCUAUCCAUCUGGCUUACUUACUGAGAACUGUAGGCACCCGCACUGCAAGCAUUAUUUAUAUACUAAGUAAUGCAUUUAAGAUUUAUGAGGAAUGAGAAGUCACACCACACCUAGAAGGGUGUGAACACGGAAUGCCUGCACUCAGGGAGAGAUCUGCGUCAGCUGUAUUUUUGAUCAAAAGUUGUUCCCAUAGUGACAACACUCUCCCCCUUAUCAGUAUUUCUUCUUGUUACUUGGUUACCAAAAUAUGAAAUGAAUACUGAAUGCAGGUCAUGAGCAUGAGAGCGAAUAUAAAGCUAACUAGUUAUCUAGGUCUAACUCUGUCAUGAUUUUUCUUUAUAUUUUUGGUGGUGGUUAAAUACAUAAAUAUAUUCAGUGGUCUAAGUAUAGAACCCAAUAUGAAGCCCACAGCCUCCAAAUGCCUAUUGUAACUUCCCAGAAGUUCACUGAGGUAUACAAACCUUAGGUCUAAUAAAUUCACUGUGUAAUUUUUUUAUUUACAUAAUUGUUAAAAUAAAAUUUAUUAAAAUGUA
rnacentral:lncRNA from 1 species